GAGCUGUGCAGUGAGUGCAAAGCAAACUAUUUUUUUGCUUUUUACUAAGAAUACUAUGUACUCGCUGCAAUCAAGCAGCAUAUUAUACUUUUUAAAAGGAUUUUUUCUUAUCCG